GAGAGGACGCGGGGAUCGGGCAGGAAUUGCCCCCCAACGGGCGCCCACCUGCCUGCCUAUCCCGCCCCCCGUCGCCCCUUCCUCUCCGCUCCCCAAGUAGGGCUGCGAUGAGAGGGCGUAGGGGGCGGGCGGCGGUGGCGCGCGGAGGAGGAAAAGGAGAGCAAGGAGAGGACUAUCCCCGGAGAGAAGCCCGCUCCAGCUGCAGCCGCAAGUCCCCUCCUUCCUUCCCGCUCCGCAAACGUGGAGAUGGCGGCGGCAGCUGCGAAAGGAAGCGCUGGUUUUCCAGCGCCCCUCGGCGUCCCUAACCGCCCGCCACUAGCGGGAGGAGACGGCGGCGGCGGCGCGGCUGCCGCUGGGUCAAUAGGCGCCCGCUGCCCGAGAGCAGGAGCAGACGGCCGGCCCCGCCCCUAACCGACGCGCCGGAAUGAGGAGGCGGGGCCGCCAGCGUCCAAUCACCGCGCGCCUCCCGCCGGGCCCGCCCCGCGCCUGCCGCCCUGCGCCGGGGCUGUGGGGAGACCUCGGGCAGCUCUCGUCACUGCGAGGCAGCGCCGCUGGAGUUGAGGCCCUCGGAGGCUGGCUUCCAGGCGCCCGCUGCCCACGUCCCACGGGGGCUGAACCGUCUCCCCAGCGCCCUGUCGCUGUUCAGGUUUCCCGUCCUUGAAGACCCGGUCCUGGCGUGCCUUGGACGGGAACUCUGGAGCUGUAGGAGAAGAAGAGGAGAAUGAGUUCCAAAUUCUGUGCAGACUCAUCUCUUCUUGCAUUGCUUUUGGUGCCUUCCUGGCGAACCCCGAGGGGCAUCAGGCUGCCAGGGCACGCGCCAGGCCGGUGUAGACAUCCGACUACAGGAUCUGUGCGGGAAGCCUGCGAAGUGACGCGUAGGCCAGUAAUAAGUCCCAGACUAUUCACAAAUCCUGAAACUACUCACCUACAUAAGAGAAUCUUGACAUUGCCAUGCACAGGAUGAGUCAAGUAACAUAAGAAACUGCUGAGAAGGUUGAGAACCACUGUAAGGUCUGCAUUAUGAAGUCACCAUAAGAAGAGGGUGGAAUGGACAUUGAAUGAGGAAACUGAGGCCCAACCUUUCCCAAGUUGCCCAAAUCUACAGUUGGGUAGCAGAGCUCGUAUUUGAUCCAUCUGGCUCCAAUUUCAGCAACGUAACCACUCUGCUCUGCUAGUCACCAGAAACUUAAGGAAGGCAGAAGAGAAAGAAAAAGCAGAGGACAUUUCAGAAGAUGUAUGCAGGAGCUAAAAGUAGCUAGUAGCUACCCAGCACCACCCAAUGUGCUCCAAUGUGAAGAAUGUAGGUGAACAGCAGCCUAGGGAUGACAACAGCAACAUGGCAGCCACUUCAGAUAAAGGACAUGUGCCCAAUACUAUGCUGGGUGGUUCAUUAAUAUUAUUUUACUCAAUCCUCAUCAUAAAUGUGACUGUUUUCCUAUAUUUACUUUUAGAUAAUUAGAAAUUAGUAGAGCAACCCAUUACAUUGAACAACCCAAACUAAUGAGCCCUUUAUCUAUCUUCUGAAAUCACAGGUUAUGGGGAUCCCCAGUUCUUGCUUCUUCUCUGCCCCAGGCUAGUACUACCUAAGAUGAUCACAUAGAGGGAUGGUUGAACUGACAUGAACACAUGGAAGGAAAGUCAAAGAGUGGAGCUAAGAAAACUUGUGCUGCAGAGAAAUUAGUUUUCACCAAAUUAAAACUAAAGUACAAUUCAAGAGAAAAAAGUAGGGAAAUGCCCUAUCUCUUUCAGAACCAACCUGUUAAACCAUUUACCAAUAUUGACUUACCCCAACAGAAGAAUUUUGUUUUUUAGAAUUUUCCCGAAAAGUACUAACUAGGAACACUUGUAUCAGACAGAUUCAAAACAUGUAUGACUUACAGUGAGAUAGUUCAAGCCAACUUUCUUCCCUCUCAGAUCGCCUCAAUCUGUUAAAAGCUCUUUUGUAACUCAGCUAAGAUUUCAGUGCUGUAUAUCUACAGAUAAAACUCUUUGUUCACAUCAAGCAGUAAUUAAAUGUUCAGGGCAUGAAAUAAGCAGCAAGUUUGGCUUCAGAGCCAUCUUGCAAUUUGUAAGUGAUCCAAGAUAGACCAUAUGCCUUUAAAUCUAGAUGACUGCAUAUGUAUUCAGGAGAAAGCUAGCUGCCAUUUCUGCACAAGAGUCAUCAAAAGAUGGAAAAAGACAAAUUUCUGUAGCUUGUCUGAUAAAUGUAUAUUAAUAUAUGUCCACUGAGAAGGUAAACUGCCCUUAACUUUUCCUUUUGGGUUUAAAAUUCAGUUUUACUAGAGAAAACAUUCAAACUGACAACUGAAACUUGCAUUAUUCUUCAGUAACUCAUUGCAAUGG